UUUCCGUAGGUGAACCUGCGGAAGGAUCAUUACUGAGUGAGGGCCCCUCGGGGUCCAACCUCCCACCCGUGUUUAACGAACCUUGUUGCUUCGGCGGGCCCGCCUCACGGCCGCCGGGGGGCAUCUGCCCCCGGGCCCGCGCCCACCGAAGCCACCUGUGAACGCUGUCUGAAGUAUGCAGUCUGAGACAAUUAUUAAAUUAAUUAAAACUUUCAACAACGGAUCUCUUGGUUCCG
rnacentral:misc_RNA from 1 species